rnacentral:rRNA from 1 species
AUUGAACGCUGGCGGCAGGCCUAACACAUGCAAGUCGAGCGGAGGAAGGGAGCUUGCUCCUGGAAUCAGCGGCGGACGGGUGAGUAAUGCCUGGGAAUCUGCCUGGUAGUGGGGGAUAACGUCUCGAAAGGGACGCUAAUACCGCGUACGUCCUACGGGAGAAAGCAGGGGAUCUUCGGACCUUGCGCUAUCAGAUGAGCCCAGGCCGGAUUAGCUUGUUGGUGAGGUAAUGGCUCACCAAGGCGACGAUCCGUAGCUGGUCUGAGAGGAUGAUCAGCCACACUGGGACUGAGACACGGCCCAGACUCCUACGGGAGGCAGCAGUGGGGAAUAUUGGACAAUGGGCGAAAGCCUGAUCCAGCCAUGCCGCGUGUGUGAAGAAGGUCUUCGGAUUGUAAAGCACUUUAAGUUGGGAGGAAGGGGUUGAAGCUAAUACCUUCAAUCUUUGACGUUACCAACAGAAUAAGCACCGGCUAACUCUGUGCCAGCAGCCGCGGUAAUAC